rnacentral:sRNA from 1 species
GCUCCUGCAUCCGAAAGUGAUCAUAGGCUGCCUGUGCCUAGGUCAUUGAUAGUGCAGGGAGAGGAACGCUGAAAGAGGUUGUCCCCGUGUUUGGAGGGUCCACCCUAUCCCAUCCGAACCCUGAAGCUUUCACACAACUCCUGUUGCUCUCCUGCCAGCCCUUGAGGAGUCCGGCGCUUGCUUGGCUGCCACAUGAAAGAUUGUCAGCUGACCUCUGUCCUGUGUGCCCAGUGGCCCCAGGUGACGUGUCUUCAAGAAGAGGCUGAGCUGCGGUGCUUGUAAGGGUCUCAUUCUGUCACCCAGGCUGGAGUGCAGUGGUGCAAUGAUGGCUCACUGCAGCCUCGACCUGGGCUCAAGUGAUCCUCCACCUCAGCUUCCUGAGUAGCUGGGACCACAGAGUCAUGUGCUGUUCCUGGGGCUUGGAUGAUGUAGGGGAAGCAAGGUGAAAGUGGUAUCCCGUGGUUCCACGUUCUGUCCUGCUGUGGGGCUGUCCCUCACAUGCUUUCAGUGGCUGUUGCAGAGGAAGAGCCUCCGGAAAUCUGCGUGGGUAAAGUCUCAGCCUUAGAUCCAAGGACAGUCCAAGGAAGUCCUAAGACCAUGGAGUUGGUGAUCUAGGAUCUGGGUUUGCUGAUAUUUCUCACCGUGAAUCUCUUGGUGGUGUUUGUGGGCACGAGAGGGGCAGAGAAUGGAGAGUGAGGCUACCACAUGAAGCGUCACCAGAGCUGCUCCCUGCUGCCUGCUCAGAGCACCCCGGAUCCACUGUUCAAUCUGCACAAGAUUCGGGGUCCAGACAUGGGAGACUUCAGCUGCCUCAGAGGACCGUGGACAGGGAAGGCCAGCCUCGCAUCCCUCUGUCCAUGCCUGGAAUGACUUUAAUAACCAAGAGUUUUAUUUUUGAAUUUGUAGCUGUCGUUCACUUUUUACCCACCCAUUCAAUAAACCUUACAGAAUUGC